rnacentral:rRNA from 1 species
UGGCUCAGAACGAACGCUGGCGGCGUGGAUAAGACAUGCAAGUCGAACGAGAGAAUUGCUAGCUUGCUAAUAAUUCUCUAGUGGCGCACGGGUGAGUAACACGUGAGUAACCUGCCCCCGAGAGCGGGAUAGCCCUGGGAAACUGGGAUUAAUACCGCAUAGUAUCGAAAGAUUAAAGCAGCAAUGCGCUUGGGGAUGGGCUCGCGGCCUAUUAGUUAGUUGGUGAGGUAACGGCUCACCAAGGCGAUGACGGGUAGCCGGUCUGAGAGGAUGUCCGGCCACACUGGAACUGAGACACGGUCCAGACACCUACGGGUGGCAGCAGUCGAGAAUCAUUCACAAUGGGGGAAACCCUGAUGGUGCGACGCCGCGUGGGGGAAUGAAGGUCUUCGGAUUGUAAACCCCUGUCAUGUGGGAGCAAAUUAAAAAGAUAGUACCACAAGAGGAAGAGACGGCUAACUCUGUGCCAGCAGCCGCGGUAAUACAGAGGUCUCAAGCGUUGUUCGGAAUCACUGGGCGUAAAGCGUGCGUAGGCUGUUUCGUAAGUCGUGUGUGAAAGGCGCGGGCUCAACCCGCGGACGGCACAUGAUACUGCGAGACUAGAGUAAUGGAGGGGGAACCGGAAUGCUCGGUGUAGCAGUGAAAUGCGUAGAUAUCGAGAGGAACACUCGUGGCGAAGGCGGGUUCCUGACAUUAACUGACGCUGAGGCACGAAGGCCAGGGGAGCGAAGGAGAGUCCUUCCCCCUGUAGUCCUGGCAGUAAACGGUGCACGCUUGGUGUGCGGGGAAUCGACCCCCUGCGUGCCGGAGCUAACGCGUUAAGCGUGCCGCCUGGGGAGUGCGGUCGCAAGAUUAAAACUCAAAGAAAUUGACGGGGACCCGCACAAGCGGUGGAGUAUGUGGCUUAAUUCGAUGCAACGCGAAGAACCUUACCUGGGCUUGACAUGUAAUGAACAACAUGUGAAAGCAUGCGACUCUUCGGAGGCGUUACACAGGUGCUGCAUGGCCGUCGUCAGCUCGUGUCGUGAGAUGUUUGGUUAAGUCCAGCAACGAGCGCAACCCCUGUUGCCAGUUACCAGCACGUGAAGGUGGGGACUCUGGCGAGACUGCCCAGAUCAACUGGGAGGAAGGUGGGGAGGACGUCAGGUCAGUAUGGCCCUUAUGCCCAGGGCUGCACACGUACUACAAUGCCCAGUACAGAGGGGGCGGAAGCCGCGAGGCGGAGGAAAUCCUAAAAACUGGGCCCAGUUCGGACUGUAGGCUGCAACCCGCCUACACGAAGCCGGAAUCGCUAGUAAUGGCGCAUCAGCUACGGCGCCGUGAAUAAAAUCCCGGGUCUUGCACA